GACGAACGCUGGCGGCGUGCUUAACACAUGCAAGUCGAACGGAAAGGCCCUGCUUUUGCGGGGUGCUCGAGUGGCGAACGGGUGAGUAACACGUGAGUAACCUGCCCUUGACUUUGGGAUAACUUCAGGAAACUGGGGCUAAUACCGGAUAGGAGCUCCUGCUGCAUGGUGGGGGUUGGAAAGUUUCGGCGGUUGGGGAUGGACUCGCGGCUUAUCAGCUUGUUGGUGGGGUAGUGGCGUACCAAGGCUUUGACGGGUAGCCGGCCUGAGAGGGUGACCGGCCACAUUGGGACUGAGAGACGGCCCAGACUCCUACGGGAGGCAGCAGUGGGAAAUAUGGCACAAUGGGCGGAAGCCUGAUGCAGCAACGCCGCGUGCGGGAUGACGGCCUUCGGGUUGUAAACCGCUUUCGCCUGUGACGAAGCGUGAGUGACGGUAAUGGGUAAAGAAGCACCGGCUAACUACGUG
rnacentral:rRNA from 1 species